CCUACGGGGGGCAGCAGUGAGGAAUAUUGGUCAAUGGUCGGGAGACUGAACCAGCCAAGCCGCGUGAGGGAUGAAGGUACAGAGUAUCGUAAACCUCUUUUGUCAGGGAACAAAAUCGGGGUCGCGACCCCGGAUGAGUGUACCUGAAGAAAAAGCAUCGGCUAACUCCGUGCCAGCAGCCGCGGUAAUACGGAGGAUGCGAGCGUUAUCCGGAUUUAUUGGGUUUAAAGGGUGCGCAGGCGGUCUGUUAAGUCAGCGGUAAAAGCCCGGGGCUCAACCCCGGCCAGCCGUUGAAACUGGCAGGCUCGAGUUGGAGAGAGGUAUGCGGAAUGCGCGGUGUAGCGGUGAAAUGCAUAGAUAUCGCGCAGAACUCCGAUUGCGAAGGCAGCAUGCCGGCGCCAAACUGACGCUGAGGCACGAAAGCGUGGGUAUCGAACAGGAUUAGAUACCCGUGUAGUC
rnacentral:rRNA from 1 species